rnacentral:rRNA from 1 species
UACGGGGGGGGCAAGCGUUGUUCGGAAUUACUGGGCGUAAAGGGCGCGUAGGCGGCCUGCUAAGUCACACGUGAAAUCCCUCGGCUCAACCGGGGAACUGCGUGUGAUACUGGCGGGCUUGAAUUCGGGAGAGGGAUGUGGAAUUCCAGGUGUAGCGGUGAAAUGCGUAGAUAUCUGGAGGAACACCGGUGGCGAAGGCGGCAUCCUGGACCGAGAUUGACGCUGAGGCGCGAAAGCUAGGGUAGCAAAC